AGCUCUAGACCCUGUGCUCUAGGAUCCUGUGAACAGCUUUGCCACAAGUGAGCAAGGAGAGCCCUGCUUCAUUGGCCACUAGCCCUGAGCACUUAAUUCAGCUAACAUCAGGGGACAGGGAUCCUUUGGUUGGGAAGCCAAACCCACAGCUGCUGGUGGAUGGCUCUUGACUCACGCUCCAACUUCUUGGUCAUGCUCCAGUUUUACAUGGCUGAGACCAUCCAAAUAGCCACCAUUGGUCAUUGCUGAGUCUGGGCCUGGAAUCUUCUGGACAAAGCAGCAGAGGAGAAGGGUAUGAAUUUACAGAAUCAUAGUCACAGAAUGUGAGAGUUGGAAGGGUCCUCAGCCACCAUCUAGUCCAACUCAUCCAUGAAAGGAAUCCUUUCUCUAACAUAUAUAACAAGUAACCUGCCUGCUUGAAAACAUCCAAGGACAGGAAGUUCACCAGCUCUCCAAGCAGCCCAUCCCACUUUGGGAUAGCACUAAUUGUUUAAAAGUUUUUCCUGCAUCAUGCCCAAAUCCAUUGUUCCUGGUUUUGCCCCUUGGACUGAACGAGUCUAGUCAAGUCUACUUGGCAGCCCUUCAAAUACUUGAAGAAUCUUCUUGAGUCCAGGCCUUUUAUCAUCUUGGUUGCCCUCCUAUGACUAUUCUCUACCUUACCAAUGUCUUUUUUUUUUAAUGGAUUUUAUUAAUAACAAUAAAUAAAUGUGAACAACAGAAUAUGAACAAUUCUUGACUAAUAUACCUAUUUGCACACCUGUAUAAAA